GUCGAGAAUAAUUCACAAUGGACGAAAGUCUGAUGGUGCAACGCCGCGUGGAGGAUGAAGGUCUUCGGAUUGUAAACUCCUGUCAUCGGGGAGUAAGACCUGGCGGUAAAUAGCCGACAGGGUUGAUAGUACCCGAAGAGGAAGGGACGGCUAACUUCGUGCCAGCAGCCGCGGUAAUACGAAGGUCCCAAGCGUUGUUCGGAAUCACUGGGCGUAAAGGGAGCGUAGGCGGCGUGGUAAGUCAGAUGUGAAAUCCCGGGGCUCAACCCCGGAACUGCAUCCGAUACUGCCAUGCUUGAGGGUUGGAGAGGUAGCUGGAAUUCUCGGUGUAGCAGUGAAAUGCGUGGAUAUCGAGAGGAACACUCGUGGCGAAGGCGAGCUACUGGACAACAUCUGACGCUGAGGCUCGAAGGCCAGGGGAGCAAAAGGGAUUAGAAACCCCGGUAGUCC
rnacentral:rRNA from 1 species